rnacentral:ribozyme from 1 species
AAACAGAAAAAGAGGACCAAGGGUUCACAGGCUCCUAAUUUGCUCUCGCUUUUGCUCUUUUAUUUUUUCUAACCCUUUUCUUACUCU